AAAGUCGUAACAAGGUUUCCGUAGGUGAACCUGCGGAAGGAUCAUUAGUCUAUGCCAGCCUGGAAACGGGCCUUGGCGUCGGGUCUCGCUUUGCAAAAAGUGUGGGCUGUCUGAAAACCCUUGAAUAUAAAACUUUGUUGCUUUGGCGGGCCGCCUCUUUUGGCGUCGGCCCCGGCUGACAGCGCCCGCCAGAGGCCAAAAACUCUAUUGUCUUUGACGUCUGAGUACUAUAUAAUAGUUAAAACUUUCAACAACGGAUCUCUUGGUUCUG
rnacentral:misc_RNA from 1 species